AUUUAUCUCAAAAUUCUGUAAAGGCAAUUGGCAACUUAUCUAGCUCAUAAAAUCUUGCAAUUUGAUCUAGGAGAACGUAUGCACUCCAGCAAAUGCGUACGGCGGUGCAGUGGGCGUAUUGUGUCGAGUGAUAUCCAGAUGGUCGGCAUUGGUUUCUAAUUUGACGUACUGAAGCCGUCUGGAACAAGAGUGCUAAGAGCCAAGCCAUGGGGAAGAAAAUUCAUUCUCUCUGUUCACAUGACCAGUGUAACAGCCAAAAUAACAAGGGCUUUGUUGUUGUUGCUUAGACGUUUUGAUGUUCGAAUUUUGAUAAGGAUGUAGAUCCUGCCAAUACGGAAGUUCAGCCAAUGUUGUAGCACGACAAGUUGAUGCCCUAGUUACGUCGUGCGGUUCGGGUUAGUUUCACCGAGAUGAGGAAAAGGUAGGCCUAUCUGUUAAAUUCAUUUCUGCCAUUGGAGCAGCUACAGGUAUGAAAACUAUUGAUCCGGCAGCCGAAUUUGGUGCUUUUUAUUUUUAAUUAGAAAAAUUCCUUAUAAAAAUCAGUCCCAAUAAAUUCCUCCAAUAAUCCAGCAUCAUUCUUCUGUUGUUUUUAACUAUUGCCUUCUUUAACUCCUUUGUUUGUCUUCGAAUGAGGUAAUAAUUCAGCAAACACAAGAAUGAUGCUGGAUAUGUUUUAUUUACAGUGACAACAUAACAUCGGUGGCAUUCCCUUCGGACACCGAGUGAUCCCAAGGCAUCAGGUACAUCCAGGAUAUCUGCAAGUACAAUUUAAAAAUUUAUUCUGUUAACCCCUAACGAUCAAUCCAGGACUUGGUUUUCUUGUCUAGUCGUCUAAGGCGGUCUAAGGGUCUAAACGUUACAAUCAGGUUGCAAAAAAUAUUGCAGAGAUAAAUUACUUGCUUUAAAAACAAUAUUUAGUAGCAAAGCUGGGUGCAUAAAACAUGCAUUUUAAUCUAGACAAAUGAGAAUACGAAUUCAUUACUUGGGAAACUGCUACGAAUUGUGAUUAUUCCCCUCGCGCUAGGGAGUGCGUGGAACAUCAUUCAGAGAACUACGCUAGUGCCUGAUGACAUCCAUAGGGCUUGUACCAUUUGCCUCGGAAGGUGUAUAAAUGCCUGGUAGUAUUCCAAUGUUUGCUAUCACUUACCGAGUUGAGCUCAGCAACAGCAGAACAGCAAGAAAUCAAUCUUUUCUUUAGAAUGAAACAGCAGACGUUCGCUGUAAUUGUCUUGGUAGUAUUGUGUUCAGUUCAACCUUAGCUUAAAGAAACUGGUGAUGAUAGUUUUGCUCCUCUAACGAAAACAUCGGAAGAAGAAAACUCGCCUGUGUCCCGCCUUAACAUUGUUGAAGACGCAACGGGUAGACAGUCUUUGCCAAUGCUUCCUCAACCAUGCUCAACCAAGAAUUACCAUAGGGUCUACUGUACGUCUAGGUGUAAAGGUGUUCCGUAGGCCUAUAAUAGGCCUAUCGUGAAACAAACUCGAUUCACCAUGACACGCUUGUUUUUUACACAAGUUUUAUAAAGAGAAACAUGUUAAAUGCGAAGGGUUAACGAGAACAUUUUUGUAUGAAACAUAUCAUUUGACAUUAAUGUUAUACUUCAAGAACGACUGUGAUGAACGAAUAAAUAUGGGAGAUGAAAUGUU